UAUUGGGAACAUUUUGCAUAA
rnacentral:miRNA from 1 species